GGAAGAAGAAAGAGAUGAUGAGAAAUGCAAAUUGUUUGUGAGCUUUAGAUUGAUGUACCAAGCCAAUAGUUAUAUUGCAAAAUAUCUAUUUUUUUUUGUUUGUUAAUUUUAUUUUUUUGGAUUAUAACUAAUGCUGUAAAUAGUUAUUGUUUGUCACUGUUCUGGAAGCAAAUACUAGUCUAACUUUCUAGGAAAGGUGUUCCUAAUUCUUGCUUGGGUGAUUGAAUUUUGUAUU
rnacentral:lncRNA from 1 species